AUACGGAGGGUGCGAGCGUUAAUCGGAAUUACUGGGCGUAAAGCGCGCGUAGGCGGCUUAUCAAGUUAGGCGUGAAAGGCCUGGGCUCAACCCGGGAACUGCGCUUAAUACUGGCGGACUAGAGUCCGGGAGAGGGUGGCGGAAUUCCCAGUGUAGAGGUGAAAUUCGUAGAUAUUGGGAAGAACACCAGUGGCGAAGGCGGCCACCUGGCCCGGUACUGACGCUGAGGUGCGAAAGCGUGGGGAGCAAACAGGAUUAGAUACCCCAGUAGUCC
rnacentral:rRNA from 1 species